rnacentral:lncRNA from 10 species
CUGAGGAGUCCAAGGAGGAUAUGGGCUUUGGUCUUUUUGACUAAACCUCUUUUGUAACAAGUUCAAUAAAAAGCUGAACUCUUAAAAAAAAUUCUUUGAAAACUCUCUCUUCAAAAGUUGGAGACUAUGUUUCUCCUUGAGUGUCACUCACUCUGGCAGAAGCCAGCAGAGCAAGCAGAUAGAUGAGGACAUUCAGCAAUAAUAUGGAGCGGUCCAUGUGUGGAGAAGCUGAGGCCACCCGCCCCCGGCCUUGUAUGUAAGCCACCUUUCAGAUCUGGUUGAGUCUUGAGAUGACUGGAGCUCUAGUGGACAGCUUGACUGCAAUCUCAUGAGCGGUCCUGAGCAGGGACCACCCAGCUGUGCUGCUGCCAAAUUCCUGACCCAAGAAUCCAUGUGAUAUGAUAAAUGUUUGUUGUUGUUUCAUGCUGCUAAUUCAUUAUGCAGCAAUAGAUAAUGAAUACAACAGGUGAUUUUGAUGCAGGUGCUCUGAACACAUUUUGUGAAAUGGACUCAGCCAAUAAAAGCACUGAGAACCUACACCUG